rnacentral:lncRNA from 1 species
CCAAGAUCCUCAACACUUCCUAAGAAUCAGCAUCAUAUUUUUUUGCCUAAGUUCAGUCGUACAAGCCUCACAAAUGUACGAUAAGAUGAUAACAACAAUCAUUAAUUAAUAAGAAAAGACAGCUUAUGUAUCUUCACACAAUACCUCUAUUCGGAAUAGGACUUUCGACAGAGGUUAACAUUAUGCAUACAAUGUCUCGUAACGCCAAAAAUGAAUUUGGAAUUGGAUAGGAGAAAAGUCAAAAGACACAAGUGUAGAAACUGCAUCAUCUUUUUUCCCAAGUUCAAUCUUGCUCGUCUCAGAAAUUCACAAUCACGUGAUAAAAUAUACCAUUAAUUAAUUAGGAAACCAAUCCAAUGUCUCAUAACACAACAAUUGAAUUUUGGAAUUGGACAGGAGAGAAGAUUGUGCAUCCAAUGUCUCAUAACAAAAAAAAAAUUCACAUAAACCAACACCCACUUCAUUGUACUGCACCCCACCAGUAAUCAACCUCGUUAUCUUCCCCAUAAUUCGGUUAAGUUUUUUUAUUUCUCGCCAAAAACAGAAUUUAGAAUUGGACAGAGAGAAGACAAAAGCGUAAACCUUGGAUAUUCAUUACGCGCAGUGAAACUUGAAAAGAAUAGUGGCACUAGAUAUUGAGUAUCUUUUCACUGUCAAAAGCAACAACAAAUAUUUCCUCUUAGUUCGGAACAUGAAUAUCAACUUGCAACAUUGUCCUCUUUAAUUUGUGAUUGACUGAACGAAAAAAUAUAGAAAACUAAAAAAAAAAAUUCGAAACUAAAGGAAAAGGCAAACCGUGUCAAAAAAUCGGUGGUCCUCGUCGGCGGUGCUUUGACUUCUGGGUGGUCACUGCUGGGUUGUACAGAAUUCCAGUUCGAGAUUCUGUACAUUAGAAGUUGAGGGAGCGGGUGAGCUUAGGGUUGACAAAAAAGGGAACAAAAUUGUGAAACUAAAGGAAAAAGGAAACCGAAUGGAAAAAUCUGUUAUUCAAUAUUGUGAACUAAUCGAGACAAAAUUGGAAAGAGAUAUGGAAACUUUCUUUUUCAAAUUAAAUCAACAAAUCAAUAAGGCAUACAUUUGGUAUCAUUACACAAUUGCACAAGGAUUAAACUCAAAACUUUAUAUCUCAUCACUGAACUUCACCAGGAACCAUCAUACUAUAACCAAGAUAUAUAACUUUUGAGCGAAAACACAUAAAAAAAAGGGGAAAAAAAUGAAAAUUCAAUUCCAAAACCAAGCAAGUCAUAGUUGCAGACUUCAAGCUCUCACAAAAAAUUAGUAUGUGAACUGUUUUUCAGUAUAUAGUACUGGAUAGG